UAAUAGUAGAGGGUGACUACCAGACCACAGCCCUGCAGCAGGGAUCAAGAGCAAACAGUCCAGAGCUGCGCCCCGUCAGAAGGCUCCUCUAGAGAGAUUUUAUUCAAGAAAUGAAACUGACAGACCACCUGACACAUCUGAAUGUCUGGAGAACAGAUCCAUACAACUGAGGAAGAGUUUGGGAUUGAAUUAGUGUAAAUUCACAGAAAACUAGCGAAACAGAAGGCAAGACUGUUAAUUGACUUGCGCAGUGAAAAGCGCAAUGAAAAAACAGUAAUGCUGUCAUCUAUGAAGAGCAUUUCAUGGUCAUGGUAUAUGACUGAAUGUGGAAGUAUGGGAGGACGGACUUCCUGUGAGGAAGCAGUGAGCGCGACAGAGUACUAAAUCUCUACCGUCCACUGUUAGAAUGUCAACAGGUAAUGCCCAAAAUAGAAAUAUUAACAACUGGCAGUAGAAGUAUGUUAUUUAGAGAUCUGGAGGUAAAUACCAAACAAAUUACUUGGAAGAGCUGAAAGGAUGCCUCCUAAAGGUACAACUUUACUAAGAACAAACCCUGAACUAACUUGCACAGGAUUACACAGCCUACAGCGGUAGGAAUGGGGCUUCUAAUCUAGCUGCUCUGGUUCUCUGACCUAUUUGUCACGUCUCUACCAACAGAGCCAAUGAAGUCUAUUCGAAAUCUAGGGAGGAUAGGCACUGCGAUCCUCAGCUGAGAAGUGAAGAGCUAAUAGCUGGUUGCCAUCACAUCGUUCAUCUUAAGUACGAAGAGUGGAGGGUAGGGGAGAAAUGGAAUACAUCACGGGUAAGAAUGUAAAAUGGUGAAGUAGCUCUGGAAAAGAGUCUGGGAUUUCCUCAGUAGGUUUUUGUUUUGUUUUGUUUUUUAAGGUUUUUUUUUUAUUUAUUUAUGUAAGUAAUCUCUACAGCCAAUGCAGGGCUCGAACUCACGACCCUGAAAUCAAGUGGCAGGGUUCUUCCCACUGAGUCAGCUGGACACCCCCUCAGUAGGUUAAAUA